AAUGUGAUCUUCAGAAACUUACUUUAUCCUUUAGUGAUGCAAAUCGCAACAUCCUUUCUAAUAUGAAGCAAGAAGCUGUACCUUUGUUGAAGAAUCCUGCAGGAUAGUGGAGACUGCAGUCAUGAUGUUCCACAAAGAGUCAGUCAUUGGAAGUACAUAUUCUUUAUAAAUAUCCAUCACGUGAGGAAAUGCAAGUAGAUGGCAAUAGUAUUGCUGUAACACAUUAUAACUGCUUUUUGAAGAAGUGGUGAUGAAAGGGUUCAUCAUCACCAAGGAUCUACUAAUCUCCAAUAGAUUUCAGCUCCCUUUGCACGUUCAACAUUUCUACAUGGGAAAGCAGUAAGGAAGGGCAACAAGGUGUGCUGUUGGUGCGCAGUAUUUUGGCAGGGGUUUGGCUUGGCUUCCAUCACAUCUUCCAUCCAUUCCAGAGGAAGCUUCCUGUUCGACUGCAACUUGUUUGCCAGUGUUUGGCAGAUGGAAACUGUUCCUCUCCUCCUUCUCUCUAUAGGGGGCGUAGAAAAACAACAAAAACAACUCCAGCAUUUGAUUUCCAAUGCGAGAACAAUGGGAGAGACCCAUUCUGAUGAAUCAUCAGGCUCCAUGAUGUCAGCAUGCUGUAGCCUUAGAAGCUCCUCUUUAAGUGGUUUGCGCAAUGCUAUGGGGCACAAUCCACCAAGAAGUUUUCCUCAGGAAGCUCCAUUGAAAGGAUAGCAGCAGUGGAAGACUACAGUGGUGUGAAGUCUCGGUGGAUGGUUGGGGUAAUAAUGCUUCUGGAUUAAUCCUGUUCAUCCCAGUGGGGCUUGUGGGGGAGCACUUCCCAAGAGACUGUGCUUUCCUUUCAAUUUUUGAGUAUUCACUUCAGUUUGAUUUCUAUGCCGAAGUUAUAAAUUUGAUGUCAGC